GAUGAACGCUAGCGGCAGGCCUAACACAUGCAAGUCGAGGGGUAGAGGAAGCUUGCUUCCUUGAGACCGGCGCACGGGUGCGUAACGCGUAUGCAAUCUACCUUUUACAGAGGGAUAGCCCAGAGAAAUUUGGAUUAAUACCUCAUAGUAUUUUCGAAUGGCAUCAUUUGAUUAUUAACGUUCCAACGGUAAAAGAUGAGCAUGCGUCCUAUUAGCUAGAUGGUAAGGUAACGGCUUACCAUGGCAACGAUAGGUAGGGGUCCUGAGAGGGAGAGCCCCCACACCGGUACUGAGACACGGACCAGACUCCUACGGGAGGCAGCAGUGAGGAAUAUUGGACAAUGGGCGCAAGCCUGAUCCAGCCAUGCCGCGUGCAGGAAGACGCAUCUAUGGUGUGUAAACUGCUUUUGUACGGGAAGAAACACUCCCUCGUGAGGGAUCUUGGCGGUACCGUAAGAAUAAGGAUCGGCUAACUCCGUGCCAGCCGCCGCCGUAACAC
rnacentral:rRNA from 1 species